rnacentral:lncRNA from 1 species
AAUCAGUGGGCUAAAAUCUCAAAUAUAAUAUAAAAUCCAAAAAAAUAUUUCAGUCAAAAUAAAGAGAGAAAUUACUCUAGAACUAAAAUACUUUUUAUUUUGACUGAAUCAUAUAUUUCUUUUUAUAUUACUUUUAGUAUCCAAAAUAUUAAAACUUUCCUAUUACAAUGAACCAAGAUAAUAUUAAAUAUGACUGACUUACAUUUAUUUCUAAAACUGCAAAACUUUAAUACAAAAACUUUAAUACAAAAGUAAACUAGAUUUGACCCUACAAACAAAAUCCACAUCCAAAGAUUAAACCAGAGGUAAUGAAAUCUGGUUUUUCUUCUCUCGCUGCUCCUUUAAAUUCUUCCCACCAAACCUCAUUUCUGACACAAUCACUAUCACUUAUUAACUUCUUCCUAAAACCUCAACAACUCAGAUUUUCAAGUUUUUUUCUUUU